CUGAAGCUGCUGCUGACGCAUGAGAAAAAGCCUCCCAAGAGAGAUCACAUUUGCUAACUAGAAUUUGCUGCCAGCGAUUCACCAGUGACCGGACAUCCGCGCACAAUCACAUCUGUGUUUGUUCUUUCCCUUUUUAUUUUUUAAAUUUGUGUAAGUACUGUCACCAGUUACAAUUAGUCAAAGGGACUUAGCCCAGCUGUUUGGAAAUGAAGGAACAUCCCAUAACAUCAGUGAGACAUGGCUGAGGUCGGGAUGUUGCAGACCAUCCAAUGGAAGACAAUCAUCAGGUAAAGGAAAAGCAGGACCAUUAUCAGGAAAAUAGAGACCUGGACCAUCACCAGGAAGAACUGCACCAUCAUUGGGAAAAGGAAGAGCUGGACCAUCAUCAGAAAGAGGAAAAGCUGGACCAUCAUUGGGAAGAGGAAGAAAUGAGCCCAGUGCCAGUGAAAAUCGGGCAACUGCAUUGAAGGAAGAACUCCUGAGGCUGGAGAACAUCCUGAGGCCCAUUCUGCUCAGUAUUCCCACCUAAAGCAGACGCACUGUUGCGGAAGGAAAAGACGAAGGAGUACUGCACCAUCUGCAUGUCUAACAUUGAGGUUGGAAUGGAAAUGGCUGUAUCAUCCUGCCACCAUAACUUCCAUGUUUCUUGCCUGACAAAAUGACUACAGAUGAACAGCGUUUGCCCUGUGUGCUGCACAAGGUGCUGCAACCUGAACCUUAUCUGAAGGACACCAAAUAGAAGCAGAAACAGUGGACCCAAUCCUAAGAUCAGAAGUCCAAACCGAACCUUCCAAUUCUAUAUGAUGGACUAUUAGGAACAACUGACAACACGGCCUUUCAUCCUCUAACACAUCACACGGCAUAGCUUAAUGCAGCCUUCAUCUGUUUGUGGAGGUGCCUGGGAGAGAUAGGAUGUUCUCAGCAGCCAGCAAGUGUGCUCUGAAAGGCCAGAGAACAAACCAGGUUUGCCCUUGAAACCUUUUAGCAUGUGACAAGCUCAGCCGCUCACCAAUUAUCCUGUGAUGAAAAUCAAUGAUGAAGUCCCAACAUUAUAUGUGUAUAGUUGUAGCAGGCAAUAGAAGGCAUUAGGACAAGACAAGCUACUACACUGUGACUUCGGAAACCUAUGUACCUUAUCAGCAAACAUGAAAACAGUUAUAUGUCACUUAUAUGUGCAGGAGCACAAAUGCAUUAUUGUUCACCACACUAGUCAUAUAUUAAGGAACAAGUUACAUGAUCAAAAAAAGCUGUUGCCCCUAACUCACUUUAAAAGGCAAAGCAGCAAUUUCGGUUGAGCGCUUAAUUCCAAUGGAAUUCCAACUGUUAUCAAAUAAAUGGUUUAAUGUGUAAAGUUAAA